UUUGAAGUGAACCCAUCCCCUGUGGAGCUUGGCUCUUACUUUCAACAAAGUAGCUAAUUAGUUCAAUUAGUUCAAAGAGUCGAAUGAAGGUAGAAAACUACUGAUCUAAAGUCUAGUAUAUUGGAGAAUUGCCUGUAUCAGGAUCAGAGCAGAGCCCUCAUAGUAAGUCGAGAAAGUCAUCCCGAGUUUCCCUUAUAUUAAGUCGGAGAGAGAUUAGCUAGUAGCCAGAGGAGAGGUAUUCUAGUUGCCACCAGCAAUCGGGUAAGAAAGUGGAGUUAUCGUAUCAGACGGGAAGGAAAGUGGAGUUUUAUCGUAUUAGAAGCCCCUUUAAGUAGUAGUCCAGGGUAGGUUCUUGUUGGCGAAAGUGCCCUGUAAAGUAUAGAAUUGCCAGUGACUCGGGUGGGGCUUGUCUCAUUCAGUAGGGCAUAGUGGUCUGGUCUAGUGAAAUCCGUAUUUGUUGACAGAGGAGAGGUUUAGUUGACAGAGAAUCAUUAAGCUAGUAGCCAGCUGCCAGUGGAAUUCUUUGCCAGUAGUUUAGAGAGCUAGUUUCUUUCUUUGGUUUCAUAGCCACUAGUAAGUUAGUACGUAGUUACUUGGCCGAGUGUCUUGGCGCGCCGUUGCUUGGCCAGUUGUGAUUUCAUUCCCAUCCCAGUGGUUACUCGAUUCCCAGUUGAGAGUUAUCGUCUUGUGUUUAUUGGUUUCAGCCUUAGACUCCUUUCCGGUAUUCCUACUUUUGAGCUUCAUCCCUUAUAUCUAGUUGUUGUCGUUGUGGUGGGCACAGUUUCUCAUCCUUAGAAGCAGCAGCGAUAGCCUUUCUUUGCUUUCAAUGUGUUAGAGCUAUGUCCCUUACCCUUACCUUAUAGCUCGAUUCCUUAUUCGUAGUUCUAUUAUCAUGGGCGGUAGUUCACUCCCGAUACCCUUAGUUCCAAUCCGAUACUCACUACUUCAUUUAGUUCCUUUGAUCAGUGGUUCAAUUGCUAUUGUUAUUGAUUGGAUUCUUAUAGUGAAGUAUAGUUCGUUCUUGCACCUAGUGGUGUGUGAGUUUGCAAGUAUGUAAAGGAAUACUCAAACUCGCAUAUAGGCAUUGAGUUCGGUAGUUUCAGUUUAAGAGCUAUUGGAUAAAGGCUGGAAGCAAGUCAAGUCAGAGUAGCGGGGCAGUAGGGGAAGCCCGGUUUCCAAUACAAUAUAAGUAUGUUUCAUUUACCAGUAAAGUAAGGUUCGAGACCAUUAGGUGAAUUUGGAGUUUUGAGGAUAAGUCUUAGAGUAGUAGCGGCUCAAGUCUUAUUGGUGGAGUGUUUUGAUUCACUGUUUCGAGGUUGGUUAUGAGAACACCAGCGCAAGUAUGUUUGUCAGCUGCUCCAUGCUUAUAUUAUAGAAUUCUUAUUCGCCCCAACGGGGUAUCAGCCUUGCCAGUAAUAGCCCGAUCCCUAGUUAUGAGUUCGAAUCAGUUUGCCGGUAGUUUCAUUCCUUAAUGCAUUUAGGAAAGUCCUAUUGUCUUCGGUGUCUCAAUCCAAUAGUCAGUGGCUCAAGCCUGUUUGCCACCAGUCCCAUUCCCUUUAGUAGUUAGUGUAGGCUUGAACAAAGAUAAGUCCUUUUCCCAGUGAGUAGGGAAAGUCUCCGUUUUAGGUGUCAGCCUUAUUUCUGUGUUGUUAGUAUAGAAGUCUAAGUAGCCCAUUCUUAUUGUUAGAGGAAUCAGGCUUAUAGACAGAGGUAUAUCUGUUGGAUAGCAAAGAUGUCAGGAACAACUAACAGAAUAUAAGUUAGGUGAUGUGGAAUCAACCCAGGGAGAGGUGGAGUGAAGCGGAGAUAGUCAGAAUUAGAUCGAGUAACUACAGAACCGAAGUAAGGAGAGGAAGGAUGAAUCCACUAAUACGGAAUGCAGUAAGUAAGUCCCGUUAGGCGGUGUUCGAUUCAAGGUUUCACUCUUGUCAUUACCAGUGGAAUGUCCCUAUUGUAAGUGAAAGUAUGAUUGUGGUAUCGGCUAAAGUAUUGCUAGCAGCGGUGUAAUACCCAGCUUUAUUAGUUUGAUUCUAUGAUUGAUUAGUGAAAAUCUAUGUAUUCCCAGUGCAAUUCCGAGUUCCUACUUAGAUGUACCUACUAAAGAAAGAGUUGGUUCCCUAUUGAUAGUUAAGGUCUUCAAAGCACUUGUUCCAUUCUAUAUUAUAAGGCCGGUAUUCCCUAGUCGAAUAUGAGAAGCACUAGUUCCAGAUUGGGGGCAUGGAAAGAAAGAACCAAAGUAGGUAACUUCAGAGUGAAGCCAAGGAUAGUAAGAGUAGGUAACUUCAGAGUGAAAGCCAAGGAUAGUCAGGCUAAUAUUCUAGUGAGUAGCCGCUUGGUGAGUCAAAAGGGAAAUAUAGAGUUAAGACUUGGAGUGGAGGCCUAAAGCCCAUAAGCAAGGAUUUUCUUCCUUCAGUAGUGUCAGACCUCUAUUGAGUAGUAGAAUAACGGACCUGGAAAUACAGAUUUGAGGGUAGUAGCGAAAGCCGUGUUAUCCGUGGCCCCGGUUGCUUGUUUCGAUCUUGUUAGCAGUGAUUUCAUUCUCGAUUUACUACAAUAAAGAGAUUAGGUCUCAACAAAGAGAUUUGUGUCAAAUGCGUAAGGAGAUUAGUUUCAAAUGAACUCUAACAUAACAGAUUUAGUGUUGAUUGAUGGGAAAUCUACUAUGGAAUGCCCUGAGUCGAGCUUAUUAUUCAUUUCAAGCCUAUCAAACAAAACAGGAUAGUAAGAAUAAGAUCAAGCAAUAUCCGUUUUAGAGCUAGUGGACAGAGGCUAGUAUAAAGCCCCCAAAGGGUCGGCUUAUAGUAAGUCAAACAAAGACCCAGAGCAGUAGAUAAAGAAGGAGUGGAGGGCUAAGAAGGUAUUCCAAGUUGCGGGGUAAGCCCGAGUUCUAGUAUAAGUAUGAGAAGCGCCGGUUCCGCUCUUGGAGGCAGUAGUGAAAGCCUCGUUUUUUAGGUAGGGUCAUUCCUGUCAGCACCAGUUCUAUUCUUGUAGUUCCUUGACUUACUUGUUUCAUUCUAUUCCUUGGAUGUGCUGUAUAUCAGACCCUUAUUCUUUGACUACUUAGUGUAAUGCGCUCUUGCAGUAUAAACGCGAAAGUGAUACUUCGACUAAGGGGUGUGGGAACGAGAUAGAGGAGUGUCUGUUUUAGAGACAUUAGUGGCAGGCUAAUAGUCAAGGUAGUUAGGUUUGGUUUGGAGUUAGUGGUAAUAGAGUGAAAUAGGUUUACUACAGAUUGGAGUUAGGUCUGUGAAGUUUGAACCUCCCCCAUGGGCAUUUAGUUAAUAAAUAUAGGCAUGUGAAGGGGCAAGUAUAAUAAUUUAGGUAAGCUGUAUAGGUUUAGGCAAGGCAGGGCUAGUACGGAUAUAAGUUUUCAACCAAAGAGAGUGAGCCCUAUAGCCAGGACAGUAAUAGUCAAAUAGGAACAUAAGAUUUUAUGUAAUAAGGUAGGCUUGGCUUGGUGUUGCGGGGGCAGUAAACAGAUAUGAGAUCAGGAGCCGUGGACCCAAACAAACAAGCAAGGGUCGAGGUUCUUAGUUUCAGAGUUCAAGUUAGCAGCGGUAGUGUUGGGAUUUUCUUUGGAAUUCAUAGUGGUGGUGGAGGUAUAUAAGAUUGGAUUCCAGCAAGAGCAGGCGCUAGGGCAGUGAAGCCGGACUAAACUAUGAGAGGGCUUUACUAAACUCAAUCUAAGAUCUGGAUCAGCAGUUAACUCAUCAUGGUGAGUGGUUGCUUUCUGAUCGGCAGUAGUAGGGUUCUCUCCAGUACCAGCGGAAUUCUUUGCAUCAUGCUGGAUUAUUAUAUUAUAUCUAGUAGCUCCAUUCUGAUAAUACCGAGUGAGUUUCUAUUUCCUAAUGUAAGAUACAUAUUCUUCUUGUGGCUUAGUGCUCUUAGACCUAAAAUACAGAAUUAAGGAGAAGCUAUGGAUAGCGAUAAGUCAACUCUCUUCUUAAAGUCGGGAGUGCUAGGUUGGCGAGUGGAAUUCCUCCUUUUUGGUUUCUUUCUUUGAAGCGAGGUAUCUUCACCGGGUAGGUUGACGAGAGGGAGGUCUAUUCUGACUUAAGAGUUUGGAGCACUAGGUAGGCGAGAAAUAGCACUACAGGUUGGUUCAGAGCACCACCACCCACUUCCCUGGCUUGUCGGCUUGAAGAUCUUUCCCUGUGUGAACCUGUUUACUAGACACCAGUGUACUAGAGUUAUUCACAAGUCCUGUGUUCGUGAACUCCAUUAAUAUAUAUUAAUGGAUAUUAAUUAAGUUCUUAGCUUUAGUUGCUUGUCGUCUUGGCCCUUAUUCCCAGUUUGGAGUGAAAUUCAGAACGGAGCUUCUUUCACUGUGAACUAUCCCCUUCCCUGAUACCGAGUAAACAAAGAAUUCAUCUAUUUCUAUUUCCACUCCGGGGUCAACAGAACAGGUUGUUGCUUGUCUGCUUGGCGGGUUCUACUUAUACUAGGGGGCUUCUGAAGCACUAACAGAGUUUAGUUCAAAGAGCAAGUCCUGUGUCCCCAGGCGGUUAUAAUGUAUUUAUGACUUUCUAUGUGUUUUGUGGAAGCCUGUUAGAUCAGUGGAGCAAGAUCAGAGGAAAGAUCCGCCCUUACAUAUCCAAUUGUGUAUAUAGUAGGAGUGAAGAAGCACAUAGUCGGAGUGAAGAAAUAGAGGCAAGAUCCGCCCUUACAUAUAGUAUAGUAGGAGUUAAGAAGCCAAGCAAAGGUGAGGUCGGCACCAUGUAUUGAUGUGAAAGCCCUGCAAUGCCCUCGCCAUAUACAUAUAGCAAUUGUGUCACUCCUUAACUAGGGUAGGCGGCUUGUGUUUCACUUACAUCAAUUGACUAGCUAACCUUUAGCGCUUUAGCUCGUCGAUUAGUAUUCUUUUCUAGUAUUCUUUUAGUUGUUUGUCUGAUAGCUCAGCAGAUAUAGUAGUUACGGUGUUCUUCUUUAGUUUAUAGGAACUCGUACUUGUUUCAUUCCGCUCUAUAUAAGUAAUAUGUAUUCCGUUUUCCACCUUCCAUAGUAGUUGCAUUCUGUUUAUCUAUUUGCUAUUGGAGGUCAGUUAUUCUUAUUCGAGGGAUAGUUUACAGUGAAAGAAGAUAAGAAUUCAUAAUUGUUGACAGAGCCAGAGAGGGAUGAGCCGGGAGUUCUUGUUUGAAGUAAGAGCCAAGCGUAACAGGGGGUGGGUGAACUACUAAGAUCAGAAUUGCACUCAGGAGUGAAAGAGCCAAGCUAAAGUACUAGAGCCAGAAAUCAGAAUGGAAUGGAAUGAGUUUACUUAGGUAGAGGAUAGAGGGGAAGUUGCAAGUUUAGUUUAGAGUAGCUAGUCCUGUAGUUGUAGAGUUGAAUACCGAGCCCUUCAUUAGUUGUUUCAUCCCUAGUUUCAUCCUUUGUUGGCUACGAGAGAGGAGUGGAGUUGGGGUCGAUAACACCGGAGCGGAGGUUGGUCACGUCAUUGAAUUGCCUGGCCUUCUACACAAAGGUACGAGACGAGAUUGAAUCACUUACCGUUGAAGAAGCACAGAGGCAUAAUAGGUCUAUAUACAAGAAAGAAUAUGGAACAGGUGAGGAAGCUGUGGAAGUGAAAGUGAAGUCUAGUAUAGUGUUACUUGUGUUAAGCAAUGAGUCAAUUAAGCAAAAUGAGCAAAACCUAAUUGGAUCUUUCGAGUCCAGUCCUUGCACUGCUACCACCUUCUGAUCCCUCUGUGGGCAUUCUCUUAGGCUUCUUCCCCUGCUGAUGCUUGAGACUAAGAUUCCCUAAAUGCUUCUAUACUAAACAAAACUUGCAUGAAAUAAGUGUAUGGCGCCCGAGAGACUUUAUCUUAUCUUAGGAGAUGAUAUCUUCUUAAUACGACUUUCCUAGCACCGACACAAUCACCUCUAUCUAUGACAACACUUGCACCCUCCACUCAAUUACUCGGUUUGUUUAAAGCAAAGGUCUCCGUUAAGGGCCAUUCGAGCAAGGAUCUCUGUGUUGGAUAGUUCAAGUUCUGAAUAAACAUCUUCCAGCGAGUAGGAGCGGGAUGACAUAAACGCUCAAACAAGCAACUCUGGGGAUGUAGUUCAUUCUUUCCUCGUAUUUCACUAAGCUAUUUACCGCUGAACACAUCUAUUGAGCAAGUCCUGUGUUCGGCUUCUCAUACUUUAGAUCAUACCCAGGAAGCCAGCGACUACCUAUAAGUAGUAAUCCGGGAACUAAGCCCAUAUCCCUUGACUCUAUCCUUGCUCUACUAUAUCCCAUGCCGAAACUCCUUAACUAACAAUACUUCAACCAUUAGUCUGUCCCGCCCCCUUCCAUUAGGCGCUUACUUUACUGACUUUGAUUCUGUAACUUGCUACUAUUAGAAUUGGACUAGUGGCCUGGAUACUGUCUUGCGCCAUUGGUUGCCGAGUUUUCUUGUUCAAUUACUUAUUAAUAAGACCAGAUCGAUGAUUAGAGACUAAAAGCCGGUAGUGAUAGGUUUAGACAAGAGAAUGUAAAUACAGCUAAUGAAAGGCGGACUAAUAGACAGGAAUAGAAGGCCAUUACUACUGACGGUAAAUACAGAUUUGAUAUCAGUAGCCUAAGAGCUACGUAGGGGACUCCAGUCUAUAAGCAAGGAUACACAGAGCAGUACCGGAGAAUGAUAGCAAAGGAUAUAUACUUAAAGAAGGCAGGCAAGGGAAAGCUUGGAAGCACUAGUUCCAUUCGUAGUUUAGAGUUCGAUUCCCUAUUUAUAUAUUGAUUCUUUUAUUGACUAGUUGAGUUCUUAUCACCAAUAAGUAAAGUUCUGUCCUAUCCCAGCAAGGGGCCCUAAAGAGGAAAUACCCUGAUAACACUCGAUCGAAACUAAGUAGUACGAGAAUGAGAUAAAGCAUAGUCAGACCAAUAGAAAGGAAAGUCACAUUAUAAGAAGGUGCGUUGCCUACAUAAUUCAAUAGGUAAGCGGAUAAUUCAGUAAGUAAGUGGAAGCCCUAGUUGUUAAUUCCAUUCUAUAAGAGGCCCGUUCCAAGGUUAAGAAGAGGUAUUGUUGGGCACUAGGUUGAUUCUUUCCAGUAGAGAUAUAUAAGCCUUGUAAGUAUAACAGCGAUAACCUUGUUAGCCCCGAGUGCAAUUAUCUCUUUUGAGUGGAAUUACUAGUUUUCUUUUUCACUCUUGUUGGUCUGAGUUCGAGCCUUGUUUUUACUUGUUCCAUUCUUUUACUGAUUGGCUCAAUUCCUUAUCUCACUUACUCAGUUGCUCGGCCCUUCCUAUAAGUUUGUGCCCCUUUUAGUCACAUUUAUCCUACCAGCAAACUGCCUAUCAUGCCUUUCGUUCUUUAAUUAAUACAUUGGGAUCCUUGUUUUGAUUCUGAUAGUACUUAGUUUGGUUCUUUUUCCUAAAGCGGAUUUUUGUUGCUAGUGUUAUUAUUGUGGCUAGGGCUAUUAGACCUAUCCCUAUUAGACCUAUUCCUAUUAGUAGAUUUACUACAUCGUACGUGCUUUGGUCUAGAACAAGUAGUAAAUGAGUACGGUUAAGCAGUUAAGUGGGACAAUGGAAUUCUAUCUCUCUUGCAUCGCAUAUAUAUAUGAUAGAGGAAUGUAACAAAUCAUCUACUUAUUAAGUGCUAAGAGUCAACAAAACCCUAGCGACCUACAUUCUUGACCAUUGAGAGGGGGCGUAGUUCUUUACCGCUACGUGGGCUACGUUGAACAGAGGUAUGCUAAAAUCAAGAUGAAGUGAAAGCCAACAAUGAGAAAGAUUAGUUGACAGCCCGCUAACUCCUGACUGCAUUGCUUCCUUCAAUAUAUUGGAGAGGUUAUUAGGUGGAGGUUUAUAGGUGAUUUAGGUAUAGGUUAUGUAGGCAGUUCUCUUUCAUGUAAGGUAAGCUCCAUUAUGAAACAUUCGCUUUCUUAUAGCUGUUGCUUCUUGCUUCUGGAACUAUACUACUCGUUGCUUUUGUUCUCUACCACAUGCUUGUUCUGUUACUUGUAUUGUCGGUAGAAUAUCGUCGUAGGCGCUCUGACUCUAAAGACUGGAAUUGGGAGCUGCUAGUGCACCCAUCUAUUAUAGAACAUAGGAGGAUGACAAAUACAAAGAAAAUAGUCAAAGAGUUUCUUUCGCCGUUGAGAUACCUUCAUCGAGCUAUCCUUGCUUUCGAUCUACCACUUGUGUUCUUGCGUCAGUGUUUGUAUCUGAGACGGAUAACUUGCCUGUUCUUGCAUCAUUACUAGUUCUUGAACCAAUGCUUGUAUCUGAGAAGGGUUGUUACUUACUAGUUCUUGCAUCAUUACUAGUUCUUGCACUAUUACUAGUUCUUGCACUAUUACUAGUUCUUGCACCGACAUCCCAAUAGACUAGAAUUUGUCUAGCAUAAUCAAAGGUCAUUUACCUAACAUAAUAAAAGGUAUAGAAUUCACCUAGCACAAUAUAGAACUGAAGAAACCGCAUUGCUUCCUAAAAAACUCUCUAGCAUUAGCACUUUUCAACAAGCCGUUAAUCCUGUUGCGCAAGAAGCAACUAAAGAAAUCAGUCCACCAGCACAGUCCAUUCUCGUCGACAACACUGGAACGGAACCUUGAAACUGCUUAUUCUGGGCUUAAACUUCAAGUAAAGCACCGAACAUGAAACUAGCACCGAACCUAGUCCACUUGAACAUCCGAACUAAACUACAGCCGAAAUCCUUACAUGCGGGCGCAUAGUUAACAAGGAAUUCCAGCAGUAUAGUGAAAUCAAAGAGAAAGAUGAAUUGAACUGAUGCUGACGCACAACUAACUAACGGAGCUACGACGCAGAGCUACUAUCUACCUACUUGCUUAUGAACUACAGUCAAUCACCUCUCUAUACCGACGUUAAGCCAAUAACAGAACUAUACGACCCGCGCUGAUGCAGGGUCUUUUUUGACUUACCUAUAGAAUAGUCACACUAGAUUCUAUUCAUGGUUUACUUCACACUGGCCUAUCAUUCUUGUUGAGUAUGGAGCGGGUUCGGGUUCCAAUCAAUAUUCUUUUCCUUAAGCAAGGGAACAAGCAAGGGAAAUAAUUCUUUCACUUUAUGGAAAGGUGCUAUAAUAGGUGACUUUAACGGGUGGGCGUGAGCUUCGUUUUCGUCAGCAUAAGAGGCAGCUGAAUCGAAUCCAAAUGAUUGAGCCCGAAAGAAGCACAGUUAUAGAAUCAAAUGAUUUAGCCGCAAUAGAAUAGGCAAAGUGGAGAAUCAUUUAUAUCCCUUCACCCGAUAUAGGCACAGUUAUAGAAUCAAAUGAUGGAGUUGCUAUAGGCACAGGUUGAGAAUCUUUCAUAUCCCUUCACCAUUCAUUGCAUCUUUCUAGCAUAUUCAAUAAGACACUAACUCCUAACUCAUAACUCACGUAAACACCAAAAACUGUAAGCUUAGCGAGCGACUUUAGCGUUAGUACUUAGAGUGGCUUGUUCAGUGCUUUACUCUAAGUCCAGCUGACUCUUUCAGAACUUAAGGUACAGUGCUAUGUGAAUCAAUUAUAUAUUAGUUGCGCCUUAAGCGUUAGAUUACUUUCCAGUAUUAGUGGCGACUAAAGCUAACGGUGACUUUCCUGGGUUCCUCAAUUCGUUCUUAAAGCUAGGAUAGAAAGUAUUGUUUUGAAACCACCAGUGUGAAGAAAUCCACUAAUAACCUUAUGGGGCAAGUAGUAUCAUUGGCGAAACAAAGAGAGCAGGCUGAAACUAAAAACUAGGCAUUGAGCACUGCCCAACAAGAACCAAACCCGGAACUAGUACUUGGACUAGCGCUGGCAAGGCUUUAACCCAACACUAAGGCUUUCAUUCGGAACUGGGGAUUGAACGAACCACUGAUGACAAAGCGCGCACUGCUGCUUUUAAGGCUUUCAUCAAGGUAGCAAACUACUCGUGGAAUUACUAUAAUCAAACUAACUACUAUUAUUUCUCAUAUGAAAACACACGUAUAAAUGUAAGUGAAAAGAAUAAUGAAUUGGAAUCUUAAUCGGGAGUAGCAGGACUAACUAACACAACUGAAAGGGAAUUCGAGGUACAACGUUGCUUGGUGAGGACGAGUUGAGCUCCUAUGCUUACUGCUUAUACCAAUGAGUUGAGCUCCUAUGCUUACUGCUCUUAGUCUAUUGCUGGGUAUAUUACUACAUGUGGUAGUCCCGUAUUACUAAUGCCCUUACCUUAGCCUUAUAGUUCACCAUCCAAGAAUGGAAGAAGCAAACGUCAGACUUGAAGUCGGGAAUACAAAUAAGGAAUAAUAAUAGUAUUUCCAGAAUACUGAUAUACUUUGACUUAUGUAUUGAGAAUAUCUACGUAGUGGUCCCUACCCUAGUAUGAGUCGCUAGCCUAGUAUGAGUCGCUAGUAGGGAUCGAUCCCUCAUUAAAUACUAACGAGUAAGGGUCGGGUGCUUUUUACCUUUCUUCUAUUUGCAAGUAUUCAUUAUCAUAUCCAAUAUUCUCAAGUAUUUUCUUAGGUGCUUUUCCCCUAGUGUUUUCCUCUAGUCUAUUGAUUGAAAAAGUACAAUUGUUUUUAUGUUUUCAAUAUGUUUGUUUGUUUUUCGAUUUCCAUAUGUCUGUACCGGUUCUUUUGUUUAGAUAAUGGGCUUUGAUGCAAGUUGCCCGAUGGAAUUGAGCUUCUGCUGUCCCUACUAGUUCUAAUUGCUUUCUUGACUUCCUACCUAUUAAUAAAGUGUUGACUUCCUACCUAUUAAUAAAGUGAGUAUAUGGUGCGUUAGCUUAUUAGAGUUUAGGGCGCGCCAGGCAAUAAGUGUGGUAGCAGCGUCUUUUCUUCACGUGGAAUCGGCACCUUAAUUCAAAAACUCUAGGUAAUUCAAUAACACCUGACUCAUGUUAUAAAACAAAGGACAACUUUCUUUCCAUGGUCGAAAUGUGUGAGCGGCAAUUGGCUCAGACAUAGGAGUGGAUUCCAAGUUUCCCUCGACCUGUUCACCACAGAAAGCAAGAUUACGGAAAGGCAGGCAGGCUUUUCAUAGAAGGUUUGAGUCGGAGUUGGGCCUGUGUUCAUGUCGUUUGUGAGUUAAGCGAGUGAAGAGGAGCAUCUUACUCUUAGGAAACUUCUUCUGAUCUCGUUGACUCAACUCAAACAGUCAAACAAUCAUUUCUUACUGAUAUGCAUAUAAAUGAAGUAAUCUGAUUCCUGCUGACUCUAAUGCUCUAUAAACGGACUCUGCUGGCUCUGACCUUACAAGCGUUACUGUUCCUUUCCACUUAACCGACGGAUCUUAUCUUCACGAUGAAACUAUGAUUCACGGCAAACUAAGCAUUCGUUCGGAGUUGACAAGGGAUAUGGCUCACUUUCUUAUAUUAUGUGAGUAUGGAUAUGGAUAGGCCGGCAGCACUCCCUUUUAGGUCAGAAGAGUUCCUUUGCAAGAAAACAACCUCUGAUACGACCAAACAUUUCUAAGGAUUCCUACAAAAUGAAAUGAAAUAAUAUCAUGUUAGAAUAUCUGACAGAAGCAGCACUCUUUCAGUUGGAUGCCCUCUUCUUCCUGGCAAGAUAAGAUCCAGAAUGGCCUUUGGUUUGGCUAGGAAAGUACAGCUAGUGCAACGAAGACUGCUAAAGCAGCAGCAAAGAGAGAGGACCGGGAGAGACAAGACACCUCUUAUGCCGGAAAAGGAAGAAAGUGAAGUAGAAAGUGCUAACGCUCCCAUUCCGAAUCCAAGAGAAACCUAAGAGAAUACCAUGCUACCAGCACCGAAUCUAAGGGAAAGCAUUUGAGCAAGAGGAAUGAAAGAAAAGUGGAAAUUUCCUAUUAGCUACCAGCACCGAAUCUAAGGGAAAGCAUUUGAACAAGAGACAGAAUCCAAAUAUUCAAUGCUAGCCGACCCAUCCUCCCAGAUCCGCAUCAGCGAGUGGUGUGACGACGACCAACUUGACAUUGAAAAUCACGAUUGGAAUGUCAUCUUACUCGGUAAAAGAUAGAAGAAGCGGAACGGAUUUCUCUUUUAUAUGAUAGGACUGCUUGCUGCCACUUCCUUAUGACAUUACCUUAUGACAUUACCUUUUAGACAAUCUCCGAUCUACGAAUACCUUGCUUGGGUCAGGAUCUUAUUAUUAGUGGAAAAACAUAGCCCUAGCUAGAUUCACUUAGUGGAAAAACAUAGCCCUAGCUAGAUUCACUUAGUGGAAAAACAUAGCUCUAGCUAGAUUAACUAAGCCGAAUCUCUCUUUUGACUUUCCUUAAAGGAAUUGAUAAGACAUAAGGAAGAGAUGAAACGAGUUAAGAAAGAAGAAGGGUAGAGAAAUGGGAUAACAUAGAGAGUAUGCCUCAUACUGACCUAAUCCGCUUCAAGCUUCGGUGGAGGCCCUCGCCCUCGCUUCGUAGACGUAGACAACAUUCCUUCCCGUGAAAAGAGUUUGUCUCUUUCCUCAGUUUGUUAUAUCUCUUUCCUCAGUUUGUUAUAUAUGAAUGCAUUUGAAACCCCCCCUCCACUUGAAUCUGUUUGGUUCUACAUAUGUUUGGUUCUACCAUGAUACUUUGGUUCCUUGGCAUAAGUCUGCUAUACUGUUACAAUAAAUUGUCACGGGUUCUGAGGCAUGAGUUAGAAUACCUAGACGCUGCAAUAACCUCCUAAACCAAACUGCUUCCUUGCUUUAACCUAAUCUGAAAACUGCUUCCUUGCUUUAACCUAAUCAAUAUCGGGCCGUGUACACAUCAUAGCAUACAUCAGGCUUCUUACAGCGCAGGAAUAGGUGACUCUUUCUUCUCUCUUACGAUCUUGACACCAAGCACAUAGCUAGCAUCACAGUUCUUUUUUUCUCUGGUGUUCUGUAUUUCUCUUUAGUUAUCUAUAAAUUAGUACUAUGAUAUGAUAUCUUUGCUCAAACUCCCUUUGCUUACUCUUUCUCUUCAGCUUCAAUUACAGAGCGCUUCCUGAGACAACGAGGGCGGGGAUCGGUAAGCCCCUUUUUUCUUUAUAGGAUCUCUCUUCAAUGCUUUCCUCUUUUAAAGACAAAUCUUCUAGUAGUGCUAAUUACGCUUUGCAAUUCUACAAAAGGAUUCCUAUUUGCAAUUCGAUAUUGGAAAUGGAAAUAACACAGCAACCACCUAUUUGGGGAUAUUUUAGACGGGAAUAAUGUUGGACUUUUGAGCGCCAGAGAUCCUCCUCCUCUAUAGCAUAAGUAAAAGCAGAAAAGGUAGCGGGCGAAAAGAUACGCGGCAAGGAAAGCUAAGGGAAAAGAAUAGUCAAUUCCUUUUCUUCCUUAAGCAUCUACUGAUCAAUAACGGAAUCUAAGUCACUAAGGGAUUCACUUUUGAAAAAGUCAGAUCGGAUUGAAGCCUACCGGUGGCUUACUCAUAUAAUAGAGAUCUUCAUUUACCAGGUCCUUGAAUCCAAAAGUCAAAGGGUGAAAGAAAGCAAAAGUAUUGAUAUUGACUUUCAAAGAAUAACCACUUCAUUUACUAAAUAUCAUAUCAGAGGGCUAGAAACGGAUUGAUACUGUCUUCUCUUUUCUCGUUUACAUAAAAGCUAGGGCCUUUCUUCAUUCAUGACCGAGUAAUAUGCUUUAAAUAGACUUCGCCGAAUCCCUUUUCAUUACAUACAACCUGACUUUGCUACUUCUGCUACCGUAGCCACAUACAACCUGACUUUGCUACUUCUGCUACCGUAGCCCUUGCUGAUUUACAGGAUUGGCCCCCUUCCGCUUCCCCCAUUGUAAACUCGCUUGCCCCGGCUCAAAGAACUCUCUUUAGGAAUGGACUUCGCUCACUUCAGCCCAAGCAGCCAUUCUGGAUUAAAGGACACAAGCCUGCUAUUCACUCGCUUUCCAGUUGAAAGCCUUAUUAUCUAGUCUUGCCGGUUACACCCUUUCUUGCCAUUUACCAUUCUCCGGGUAUUUCUUCUUUUAGGCUGACGGCUUGGUCAGAUUAGGAUGUUGCUUCUUUAUCCCCUCCGAUCAGGAUCUGCCAACGCCCGAAGUCACUUCACUCUAUAUCUCUGGAACCGAAAGAGGGUAAACCGUGAGCAAACUUUCGAGCUGGGAGAACUAAGGCAUUUCCUUACUAUUAAAGAACUAAGGUGCUGAAAGCCUACUAUUCAUCGUUAUCUCGAACCAAAGAAAGCGGAGUGAUCAUCGUUAUCUCGAACCAAAGAAAGCGGAGUGACAAGAACAUCAAACUGCUGACCAAGUAAAGUCACUUAUGGGCUACUGAUGCCAUCCCUCUGUCUAAUUGUAUUGGCCUCUCGGUGAUAGAUACUAUUCCUGGCUCUUAGCACCUUCCUUCCAUCCUCUUCUCCGACUUCAGCAGAAACAAACCUAAUUAUCUCAUGUCAACAGCGCAUUCGUUCACUCAAGCAUUUGUUAGCUCCAAGUCCAAGAGCCUAUCCGGUACCAGAAGUGUUGGGUUCAUUUGUAUUUCUCUUCUUUAGCUACAGUAGAAUAGCCUAAACAACUCCGUCGAACUACUUCGUUCCAAACAGAAUUCCGAAUUCUUAGACGGAUGAGACUGAUCACACCUCAUCGUUGAAAGAAGGCUUAGACCCUGAAUGGAAAAGGGCACAGUGUUAGAUGGAAAGGAAAGAGCCAGAAAUCAGAGACCCCUCGCUUCCUUCUAACGCCCAUUAUAGGAUAUAGGUCCAAAAAAGGAGUUCGAUGAUCUUUCCUAGAGCUUCCGCUGCUCUUAUUACUGCUUCCCUUCAGCACGGCGUUACAGAAAGCGCUGACUCAAUGGGCCUCAUGCCUGCCUAUAUGUCUUUAUUCCCCCUUAGAUUGGAUAAGGUCUAUAUUCCUGAACUCUCUUUCUAGAUUGGAUAAGGUCUAUAUUCCUGAACUCCCUUUCCAGAGGGUUUAGAUCCGGGAUUUCCUACUAAGGGCUUCCUUCCCGAGUUCGAUGCCUGCAGAGCCUAUGAACAAACACUCUAACUAAGACUAAAGAUGACACUUGGACAUGUGCUUGUGGAAAGGUCUAAGAAAAGGCUGGGUCAAUAGAGGCAAUAGAAACCAUACUUACUCAUCAUGUAAAUAAAGGGCAAAAGUGGACAAUUGACAAACGAGCGGAGCUAUUUACGGUCGAAACGCAUACGGGGAGGUGGGACUCGUUUAAAUGCAAGGACGCUGGGAGGAAACCCUCUUGGAUUCUCGGGCAAAAAAAACACAGAAUGGGGCUUAGUGAAAACGGGCUUCGAGAAGUCGUUCUUAGCAAGAAAAGAAUAGAGAGGGUCGCAGCUCUUAGCCAGGCUUCUAUUCCAUCGGUUUUACGUGGGUCAGAUUCCUACUAUUCAUUGAUUGAGUCCAAAAGAACGGGGUUGGAUGCGAGAUUGGGUGAUUUAGAAUGGAAGUUCAAUCAAAACAGGAUCCUUAUAGUUCAAUCAAAACGGGAUCCUUAUAUGGGCAAGUUGCUUAAAGGUUUCUAUUGUAUUGGUUUUGUUCUUUGUAUGGGAACUCCUAAUUGUUACUCCGGAAAGGACAGACGAAUCUUAAAGAAUGCGUACACGUGAAAAGGCUUACCUUAAGGCACACGUGAAAAAGGCUUACCCCUGAGGCCCUUCCGUUCUUUCUUUCUCCUCUGGUUUUGAGGUCUAGGUGGGUUGGUUUGGCGUAUGAGUCCGGUUCACUUCUUUUUGCUUGCUGGUGGAGAGCUUUCCCUUGUGAAAUCCAACUCAAACUAUACUCAAAGGAAAUCCAUUGACAAUACUUGAUAGGAUCUAGAAUAGUUGCUUCUCUUUCUAGCAAAGAAGGAUCCAGUCUCGCUAACCGCGUAUCCAAAUAAGCCUUCCUUUUGCAUUGACAGCAGUUAUCUAGUUUUCGCGGGUGCGCAAAAUGUCCUUUUGAGAAUUGAGAAUUGCAGGAAAAAGGGUCAACUAAGAAAAUCCAGAAUGGAUGCGAAAUAGGAAGACCACCAAGUCCAAUCCUAAUAGUUAUUUCUUACUCUCCUACAGCAUAAUAGACUUGCGAAUGGAUCCUAUUUGUUCGAGUGGAAAUCCUCUCCCCAUCCAUACUGAUCAAGGUGGGGAACCAAACCACUUAAAGGAAGUAUGUUCUUAGAUGGUGUUUGCAUGUCAAAGGAAUGGUAGUAGUGGGCUGGAUGUUCGGUAAGCGUGUGAGAUGAGACCCGAUCCUUCCACAAAGGACUCCCGUUUCAACAGUGCAUUUUUCCUUUGAUUCUCCGUCACCCGUUCUUCCCGACCACCGCCCGAUGCAGUCUAAACUCAGGUUAUCUCAAUAGACUUCCCAGCUAUUCUAUUCUAGAUAUCUUAUCUAAGAUGAAAACUGACUGUUUGUUUAUCCGAAAGUAUCUGAUGGUCAGGUCAUAGAAAGACAAAAACGUAUCGCCCACUUAAGAAAAUGAGGUCUGAACGGUAGGCUCCGCUGGAGAAACGACCAUAGCUGCACGGAGUUAGUUGACUGAUUUAGGUAUCAUGAUAGCUUGUUAGCGAUUACACUAUCCCCGGAAUAGCUUUCACUUCAUUGUUAAAGCUAUUGAACAUAGGUGGAGUUCAUACAGAAAAUGCUGUGUACUAUGAAAGAAAAACCACCAAUUCCUUUGAGGCUACUAACACUACCGAAGCAGGCUUGUUGGUUACUGGUUUUGGUAUUGAAAACAUAUAAAGGCUUUCAGCACCUUGCUUCUAGUUUCGCCGGUACCCUCGAGACAGCUUUCCCUAAAAGGACCGGAUUCAAGACAUUCGAUCUCAUACCCACUACAAUAAAUGAAAGUAUACUCGUAGCAAGGAACUCUUUCUUUAUUACUUUAGGUGGAAACUCUCUGAAGUUGGUUCUUUCUUCUCUUUAUUUAUAGUUUCAACUCAUUCCUGGUUGGUUCUUUCUUCUCUUUAUAGUUUCACUCAUUCCUGCCGCUCCGUUUAAGAAGUUUCGGCUCUAUGGCACUUGUUCUCCUUCUAUAGAUCGAGAUGCUUUUGUGGAUUGGAUGCUUUUCUUUUCCGUUGAAUAACAAAACAAAUGGUCGAUGUGGCUUUAUUAUCUUAGGUAGAAAGAAAGGGCUAUCUUUUGCCUAACUGUGAUAGGAGGCUCUGGAAAGACAACAAUACAAGCUGCUUUACUUAUCGGAUAGCUACUGACUUGCGUAUAGAGAAAUGGAACCGUAUUUAACUUAAUCCAAAGGUGGACUCAUACAUACUAUGGCUUUAUGAACUUAAUAAAUGAAUAUGUUACGAUUGAAGAAUACCGUAAUGGGAAGAAUACCUUAAUUGAGAAUAUAAUAGCGGCACCGAGAAACUGUGACUUGAACUGCAAAAAGGAAAAGACCCCAAUCUUCGAGAAAGCGAAACUCAAAUGACAUCCAACCCUAGAAAAAGCCGAGUAACCGCUUACCACCUAUACCUUGAAGCCUGCUACUGAGAAAGUGGCUGUCCUAAGGGUUAAUUAGCUCCUACCGCUCGAACACCAAACUAAGGACUCGGUUAUAGUUGCAGUGCCUACUUUUAGGAAUACAGUGCCCUUAAGUAAUUGAACCCGCCUUGUCAUUAUUCCAUAAUGCCUUCCUUCUUCUUUAGACGUGUGAAAGAAAGCGCCUUUUUGAACUCCGAACCGUGAUACCGAAAAAUCCACUCAUUCGGACAAUGUCCCAAGACAUCUUCGAUCUAUCGAGCUACUAGUCGAUCAACGAUAACAACACUUUCCCACUUGUUUGUUCUGGUGGCAUAUUACAUUGCUUUCUAUUUCCCAGAAAUCUAUUACUUCGUUGUUCGGUGGUCAUUCUUGUCGAGUUUGUCCAGUUGUACGUAAGGAUCUUAUUUGAGCCCAUACUUGUUUCGUUACCCGGAGUCUUGCUUUCACCCUUCGAAGAUUCGAUUUGGCCAUUUCUCAAUUGACCGAGUUGCUGCUACUACUUUUACUAUGACCGUUUGGAUUGUUGCUUUCUUGGUGUUUUACGGAAAUAAUUGUUAUAAUAUAAGGAGUUAUUGAAGUGAGUUAGUUUGGAGAAGAACGGUUUCAUUGUGUUCGUGAAGAUAAGAUAGUAGAGAUCACUAGACCUAGAGCAAGAAUGGGAUGUUACGCCAAUGAGCCGAGCCCUCUAGGAGUAGGACGCCCUUUGCUGGUGCCCGGGUCCCCUAUAGUCUCAGGAGAGAUUAUACAAAGGCCACUAACCCAGGUCCCCUAUAGUCUCAGGAGAGAUGAGAAAAGGCAAACUCGCAAGUCACCUUGUCUCGUAUCCAUCAGAAAACCGGGUUCCCUGUAAGCAAAGAACAAAGGUAGAUGAUAAGUUUACUUGAAAGAACAAAGGUAGAUGAUAAGUUUACUUGAAAAGCCAUAGAGUAAGUAAGGUGACUUUCCAAUUGACUUGAAAAGCCAUAGAGUAAGUAAGGUGACUUUCCAAGAAUAUGUCUCCUUGACUUGCUCAUAACUGUUACUAUUAACUCUGACUAUAUAGUUAGUUGAGCUCCCUUAAACAUAGGACUAUUUCCAGUUUCUCUCUGUGUUUGUUGGUGACAAGAGAGAAAGAUCAUCGGCAAAAGAACGAUCUGAAGCUGUUACUAGUCAAUUCCAUUCUUCACUUUCAGAGGUCAAUUCCAUUCUUCACUUUCCGCUCUUGACGUCGAGUUCGGGGAAGCAUAUUCCUAUUUAGAAGGAACAGGAACAGACAGAAAUAUAAGUCCGCGAGGGUAUAUAUAACAACCUAGUAAUCCAUAAGAGAGGUCCGGUGGGCAAUAGAAGUAGUAGAAUAAGGAGCAGGUAGGCAGAAGAUACGGCAUCAGGUGAGCGAGCUAUAUCCUGAGUGGGUAAAGAAUAAGUAUUUGGAGCCCCCUUUCUUGCAAUUGAGUCCGGGUCGGAAAGCUUCAAGUAAGGGCAGAGGAAAGGCUAGGCUGCCUAGCAGAGUUAUUAAGGUAAGGAGUCAGCAAUAAAAGGAGUCAGCAAUAAGUGAGUAAGUAGUUGAUUGACUAUUCUCUAUUAGUGGUAGAUAACUCUCUUCACAAUCAGCUAGCUAUAUAGAAGGAGUUAUAGGUCAAACAAAUAAUUCAUGGAAUCUUUCUUGCGCUACUCAUGAAUGGAAAUUGGAAACUCCAACUCGUUACACCUAUUCCUCUAAUGUGAAAGACUGAUAUUGUAGGGCGAUGAGAGAGGUUCUGAUUGUGUUGUGGUCGGUGCUUGUCUACGAGAAUUGCCUUAUUGACAGCUUUUGACUGGAAAACGAAGUUAUUGAAUUGAACGGAGUGCACCUAGGAAGAGCGCUACCAUAAAGGAUUCCAGUAUCAAAUCAUUUAAAGAACAGAUGGGGGCCCGUGCGUGUCAUUUGCCCCAUAAGAUUUGUUGACGAGAGUUAGCAAAAGUAGUAUACUAUUUCUUGGCUUUGCCCUUAACCGAGCGCAUUUAUUGAGUUGGGGGGGCUAGUUCCAGUCUUAACCUGGAAUUUCAUCCACUUUCUAGCGCUGAAGCAUAAGAGGGAUUCGAAGAUGGAUCUGAUUCAAAAGAUAGGGAAGCUAUGUCUCCACUUCUUUAUAUGCUAUGAUAGAAGGAAUAGGGUCCAACUUCGUGCUUUUAGAUGAAAGUCAGAGAAAAGUGUCCCGCCCCCCGAGUGCUCUAAACGCCAAAUACUGAAUGGAACUUGCAAAUACAAGAUAAAGGAAUGGAAGAAGAAAUACGAUACGGAACAACAAACUCUUACAGUAGCGCCGAGAAAGCCAUAUCCGGAGUUGGAGAAUAAUAGGGAAAAGAGACUAUUUCCAGAGGAGAAGAUACUAUAUCAGGUGAGUUGGUAAAGAAUAUAUAUAGAGUUGGCGUAGGAACAAGAACUCGAUAAGAAUCAUACUUAGUUGUCAAGAAAUGCAGCAGUAUUAGAAGCUGGUAAAGAGGAGGCAAAAGUGAGCUUAGAAGUAGCGAACAGGAACUAAACUCUACUACUUUGAGCGGGCCGGGCCGGGCAUUGACUUAUCGCUUGCUGCUGAGGAAACUAAUACGGAUUUGCUUUUCUCUCUCCAUAACUACACUUUUCUCGCACAGCUAAAGCUUAUUAUACCGCUGAUGAUACUUAUUCAUAAGAUCUGGAUCCUGCAGAAUCGACAACAACACUUGUUUCUGGUGCCGAGUCUCUUGAAACCGGUGUUUGAGGGUUUGUCUUGUUAGUUCAGAAUCAUAAAUACGAGUAGGGGUUUCAUCCCGUAGUUAAUCCGUAUAAUAUCUGUGCUUGUUGGCUCAAGUGCCCUGCAAUACGAGUAUAAUCUCUGUGCUUGUUGGCUCAAGUGCCCUGCAAUACGAGGUAAGGUCGGCAGUAGUAAAAGAAUGGUUUGCUCGAUGAACAAAAAGGGCGGCUCCCGGGUUGGUUUUUCCCAUCAACUAAAGAGCAAGGCUAUCAGGCCUAUUACGAAAAUGUCUUUCUCAAGAGCAAGAGCUAACACAACUCUUUUCUUUUUUUGUACUUCCCACGGUAAAGCGAAACGAUUACCCGAGACACUACACUAGCUCUUAAAAUGUUUUAGUCGUUUAUGAUCGAAGCGGAUUCUCUCUUCUGGAACCAUACAAUCUGGCUUGACUUGGAUAGCGUCAUGAACCGAGCAAAGGAUAUAGCAAAGGAAACACUUGCAUCUGGCUGAGGACUAAAUAUAGGAGCUCGCCUUGCAUACAAGGGGAAAAGAUGGAAUCUGGUAAAAAGAAAGUUCCGUGCCUAUAGUCAUUCCUUUAUCCAGUUCCGUGCCUAUAGUCAUUCCUUUCUAUGGUAGCAAUCUGGUCUCCAGUCGGUGGAGGAAGUAAGGCUUAGCAGUCCUAUCAGUGCCCUUAUGCACAGAAACAGUUGGAGUCAAGGCAGUCUGUGGUUUCUAAGGCCUAUAGGCCGGUCCUGUCAUUUCGUAUAGAUUUAUAGAAAGGGAGCGCCUUUAAGGCUUUCAGCACCUUCUCUCCUCCCCAACGCCGCUAUCUGUCAUCAAUUCCUUCUCUCCUCCCCAACGCCACUAUCUGUCCAAGGGGAAAAGCAAACUCAAGGGUACCAACGCAAGCUUCCGUUUUCAAGUUAGUUAUGAAUCCGAUGUGAGAUGCCUCGCCUAGCUUGAUUAAUAGCCGCCCGGGCCCAUGUUCUCAGUGCAAUGCAACGUGUGAAAUGACUUAGUCAAGAGAUCGUAGGAUACCGGCAAAGGCAGAAGGUGGAUACUCGUUGUUUUGAUUUCGCAGGUGGAUACUCGUUGUUUUGAUUUCGCAAUUCUAUUAUAUCAUAAGGGGUUGAAACACGAAAAUGAAGGUGCGAAGUUUCGAACAUGGUUGUUAUAAAGUUCCCUAUCUCUGCUAUUAUAGAAUAAGAAAGGAAAGAUAAAGAUAAUAAGAAAGGAAAGAGAAAGGCAGCACAUAUGAAUCUGACUCAAGUGGUCAUCGAGAAGAAGUCGAUUCGCUGAAGCAUAAACAGAGAAGGUAGUUUAGUUAACCCGGGCCAGGCCAGCCCUUAGCAUCUAAAGAAUGCGCUCUUCUCAAGCUUUUCAAAAAGGGGUGUGUGUUGGUUUGGGCAAUGGAAGGCACGAAUCAAACUAUCUAUCUUUAGCAUACGGGAAUCGAGCAGACAUGAUCAAUAAUGAUUCAGAGGACAAGGGCAGCUUGUUCUACCUUCGGGAUAAACGCUCUUUUCAUGGGUUUUUUCUUUGACAGUCUUACUGGAUUUUUAGUUGAUGGGGCAAGGCUUAGCAAAUAAAUAAGCUUGUGUCGGAAGAGAAGUAAGUAGAAAACAAAGCUGUUCGCGGAACCUGAUUGCCCUAAGUCGGAGUCAGAAUAAGGUUUAGGCUGGAAGACAAGCAACAGAUAUCUCGGAUGUUGCCAUUGCCAGGAGCAUGGAUGCCAAGAAUGCCCUCAGUCUAUGUCUUUCUAUAUAGGCUUUAAGGAAGCAAGUAAGCAUUAAAGAGGGGCUUUGUUGGACCUUCCGACCGACUGAAGGAUCUUUUCCGUCUUUCGAGAUGCGAAUAGAUUGACUAUUGGGAUAACGAAGAUAUGACCAUAUUAAAGAUCUCAUUUAUUCAUUUCAUAGAGAAAAGGAUUAGCUGCUUUCUGAAAAUGAUAGAGAGAGAACAGCGCUACCGCCAUGAAUACUUGACUCGCUCAUAACAGAAUUAGAACAUAUUAUUUGGAGUCUUGCAUUUGUAGGAGUUGCUUGGCCCUUUGUAGUAGUUGCUUGGUGGCUUUCAGCACCUUUAUUUUCAUGGAGCUCUUUAGAUAGGUAGAGGAAAGACGUAACUAGACGACCGCGCAGAAAGAGACGUAACUAGACGACCGCGCAGAAAGAAGAAUCUCUUUUAUAGCUUCCGAUUGCUAUGGAGAUUCCUAUGGUUUCUCUAGUUUCUCAGACUAUUAUGGAUAUUCCCCCAGAUGCGAGUUACAGCCUUGUAACCAAGGGUCCCUUACUUCACUUCAUGGAUCUUUAAGAAGUUCAAGAAGAAAGCUACGGGCAUAUACCCCAGCCGCGGGGGAACAAGUGCCACCUAAACAGCUAGAUUAUCUAUCUAUAAGCCUCGCAAACCCUUCCUUUGUAAAGGACCUUUCCCGCUUUCCUUACUUUCCUUCCUUGGCUAGUUCAAAAAACGCUUUUUCCAUUGUUCUGAUAAUAAGAUUAAUCAGAAUUGUCGCUUGGAAUAAUAGGCUUUGAAACAGAAAGGAGGUAGAGAAGCUCUGAGAUGGAAAGGAGGGAAGCUCUAAGUUAGGUAGUUAGGAGCGAAGGUAGUACGAGGCAGAGCCAAGACUCAUCUCAUGUGGAAUCAUCAAUACUUAAAGGAUAGAGUCAAACUCUUGGCAGGUCGGGGGGCAAGCUUGACUUUCACUUCGGGAAUAAUCAAUCUAGCUUUUUGAAUGGGGCGAGCGGUUCUCGGGCGAAUUCCUUCUAUUGGUCUUAUACUAUGGGUGGAUACAGACUCAGAGUGAGGACCCGUGCCAGCAACUCCUGUAAGCGCAAAUCAUUUAGGAGAAGUCAAAGCAUAACCCUGACAAGACAAGUGGUUAGGGCUUUCUUCAACUUACAGAGCGGAUCUAUACUCUUUACCUCGAAACUAGGAAUUUCACUUACUGAAACCAAAAGUGUUUUUUUCUCAAUGGAUAAUAUGGAUCUCGCACCAGCAAUAGAAUAAUUGAAGUACCCCGCUGCGCUGCCCCCUACUGAGGAUACAGCUACAUCACUUGGCUGCGCUGCCCCCUACUGAGGAUACAGCUACAUCACUUGCAACUUCAAUAAGUCCAGUGGAGAAUGUGCUUUCUUGUCUUCUCUCUUAGGGCGCAAUUCCAGAAGGAUAGACAGACCGACCGACCAUCUUCAAACCGACCAUCUUCAAUUUGAUCUAGAAUAAUAAAGAUCUGCAUAAUCAGGAUCAGAAAAAGAGGUCUUAUAGCUUCGAAAGAACACCGACUGCUGUAUAAACAAGGGAAUAAUACGCAAGGAGAGAAAGAUGUAAUGUUGCAAUGCGAGUUGACUCUAAACCAGAAAAAAGGGGAGUUCUGGGCUUGACGUCUACAGGUUAGAGUGUCGGUGCGAGUUGAGUACUUAAUUGAGGCGCUAAUGGAGUUUCCGCUUGAUCACAUUCCUUUUCUUUAUAGGCGAUAGGCGUGUGAGGGUGAUUCAAUUCGUAUGUUCGCUGUCGCGGCAGGAGCUACUGUUACGUGUUCUUUAAAUUCCAGUUUUCGUUCCUUUGUUCGUCCUCCCGUUCUCUCAUAUUAUUUAGUAGGUCCCUUGGUCAACAAUGCUAGACAAGCAGCAUAUAGGUUAUUUAUUCAUUGCAGCAUAUAGGUUAUUUUAUUCAUUGUUCAUUAUGAAACAAACUUUCUUGUUAAUUAUGGGGCGGUCUUUUACCUUACCAGAUUCAUUUGAGCGCCCAUAGCUAUUCAAUUUGGCCUCUUUCCUUUAUUCAGAUCUCUCCCUCCUAAUGUAACUAUCAAGAAUUUGUGUGGAUAGCUCGCAUAAAGAAAAAGGGGAAGGACACUGCUCUUACAGAAAAAGGGGAAGGACACUGCUCAUAAAGAAAGGGAAGGUACUGGCACUCAUAAAGAAAGGGAAGGUACUGGCACAGCUCUUAAAUAACUAACCGCUUUUAUAUAACUUACAGCUCUUAUCUCACUUAAAGCUCUUACAUAACUUACAGCUCUUCCAAAUUCUUCUUUGUGUAAAGGGUCAUAAAAAGAGUCUAGCCCACCCACCCCAGCAGUCAAGUACUAGUGCUAUCAAUUCCUACAGCUCAGGGUCAAUUGUGUAUCGAACCUGCAUACAGAUGUUUAUCAUAACAGCGUUAAGGAAAGAUGCGGGCUUAUUCUCUAUUCUAUGCUCUCCUCUCUUUUUCCAAUAAAGAAGGAGGGGACCCCUUUUCAAAGCCAUUUCUCAUGAAUGGUGGGUAUGAUUCUAUAACCGGUUUUUCCUUUCAUUCAAGGCUCGACAACGAUUGGAAUAGUGUUUCUUCUUUAUUGAUCUGUCUGAUGGAGACCAUUUAGAAUCCUAUUAGUAAACAGGAGCAUAUCCAACCUUUUGAAGCGGCGGGUCCUUCUUGAUUUGAUUUAUACUUGUGUUAUUUAUACUUGAUUGGAUUGAUAUUUGCUAGCUCUUGAGCUUUCCUAACCCCAUCUAUCUUUCUUCUUCUCUGGAUAAGGUUUAGUGUAAGGCCCCUUUUGACAUUCAAGAUAUACUGACGCAAACCUCUCGGGAUUUUAUGCAUAUCCUGAUUACCCUCCCACAACCGAAAAGGUAGAAAACCAUGUCUACUUUGCCUUUAUAGCAAUUCCUUUCUAGCUAUGCCUUUCUGGGGUUAUUGUCCAAGCGACUCUAUAUUUGAUAUGUUUUGGCCGCUCCAAGAUCAAAGGAAUUAGCAUGUUCUGGACUGCUUACUUCCAGAGAUUACACGAGUGUGUUCUCGCUUCUUCGAUAGCGCCCCCAUUCGAAGUAUUUCCACGAUCUUUUGUAGUCUUCAAUCCUUAUUUGUUGGUGUUUAGGAAGGGUUAAUGGCUUAUUAAUCUAUGAAGUCUAUAGGGUUAAUGGCUUAUUAAUCUAUGAAGUCUAUAUUCUCCCGAUCAUAGGUGAUAGAGACCCAUAAGAUAGGCAAAUGAUAGAAACCUAUAAGAUAUAAGGAAGAAAGAACGUAAAAGAUAUGACUUUAGAAAGCUCUGGAGGCAGAUUCUAUUGGCCUUUCAUUAAGCCUCCUUUAAUUAAGCGCUUUCCUACUCUUAUUUGUAUUUGAUAUUAGGCCACUUCCUGCAUAUUGAUUAUUCUAGGAUGAACGAACUCCUUACAUUCGAGUAUUUACCUCCUAUUGCAAUUGCUCUUGAAAACCUCUGCCUUGAGUCCUCGAAUACCUGCACCUAUUAUCAUGUACCGGUCGUUAAACCACACUGUAGAUAAUGCUUUUGCCAUAAAGAAAUCUCUAUUAAUAUUAGCAUCACUCGAAACUCACUAACGGAAGAAACAAGCAAACAACGAACUCCUAUCCGACACAAGAGCACAUGAUAGGCAAUAGGGACCGGGCACCCACACCUAUUAUACCUCCUCAGGCGAGGCACCCACAGUCGACCCCGUAACUACAAACAUGAUAAACAAUAGGCACCCCUGCCCCAGUUUGGAGCACAUUUGUAGCACACUGGCUUUGGCAUGAAAGUGUAUGUAUUCGUUGUGAUGCGGCUCCUCGACACUAUGCAAGCUACGGCAACUUUCAAGCUUUGUUUGCUCAGAGAAUUAAUACCUGAGUGACUUGGCCGUUGUUUCACCUCUUUUAAACGGAGCCCGCAAUGUAGCAGUAAAGAAUUGGAACUCUAUGACAACACUCGCACCCUCAGAUAUGAGUAAUCAGUACCAAGCAACACCCUAUACUUUCGAUCCCUUGUUUCGUUCCCUUGUUUGUUCUCCUUACUUUUAGAGUUGAUAUCCGCACAGCUGCGUUAAUUUGCUUGUUUGCUUGCUUCCCUUGCCUGUUAAGCUACCCACCCGGGGUAAGAGAGUAGUUGAUGCUUUUGUUGAAUAAAGAGAAUCUUGAUAGACUAAUAUAGAAUAGAGUACUUGCAUUAUAGACUAAUAUAGAAUAGAGUAAAGGCAUUGAAGCGUGGUGUGGGUUUACUUUCAAUGGGGAGAGGUUCUAUGAUAGGCUUUCCCUUGACUUUAUGAGUAGUGGUCCAAAGAAUGGCGCUCGCCUUAGGAGUUGAGUUAGAAGCAUUAUAUAGCUCGGCAAGAAAGAUUGAAUGAUUUGUUGAGUUCUGGUUUUCGGCUAACGUGCGUGUGGGUUAUUUGGAGUUUCAAACAAGGAAGGUCUAUAUGAACUCAAUUAAGUACUUAGCGCACCCAUAAUCUACCUCAAUCCUCUGAAAGUCAACUACUGAAGUCUUGUAUAAAGGUUCAAGCUAAAAGUCCGGGUAUCCUGAAUCAGCUGUUUCUGUUUUCACAUCAGAAUACGUUUUUUAAAGAAGCAACGUUAAGGGUAGGAAUAUUCAGGUAAUUAGAUAAGGGAAGGUAUCAUAUAAAUAUGGAUCUAAAGAAUAAGCAAGAUCGUCGGCAUAAGCAAGAUCAGAGGAUCAUCAGAAAGAGCAGAAGCUGAAUCAAAAGAGAAAUCAUAAGCCAAAGAAUCCGCUGUGGUGUCAAAGCGGUCAGCUGCCAGUGAAUAAGUCAAAGCCAGUGGUAAGCGGGACCAGACGGAAAGUUGUUGAAUUCGUCUUUGUUAUCCACGAGAGAGGCAAUCAACCAACAUAGAGUUUUCAAGAGAACGAGCAAGCAAGGCCAAAUAGUAAUAAAACAACCCCUUUUUGCGUCGUUUAACCAUAUGCCGCCGUUCAACGGAGCUCAUAUGAUAUGGCUAAUCUCACUUAUGGAAAAACUCCCCACUACGCUCCUAACGCGCACUACACUACGUUGCUUGUUCUGUCCUUUUCAUGCAUUUUUCCAUAGAGAUUAAUUAAGAUAGACCUCUUCCUAGAUAUUAAGAUGGACCUCCAUCUUCCUAGGUGCCAAUCAAUUGAAUUCUACUAUGGGGGUGCUAACGCGAGUUGUUGUUGCAGGAUGUUUUGUUACUAUCUUCGAGUUGUUGUUGCAGGAUGUUUUGUUACUCUCUUAUAAAAUAUGUCAGUUAUUAGCUUUUCUUCAGUUGAGCAUGAUAGGUGCACUCAAUUCCAUGAUUUUCUUCAGUGUUGUGAGUUUGUAGAGUAAUGGAGUCUUAAGUUAGGUUAAUCCCUUACAUGAGUUGUGCACUCACAUUCAAGAAGCCCUGAAACAUACAAAUGUAAGCUAAGGUUCCCCGAUAAGUCAUUUCUGUUUUAAAGCAAAGUGAUUAUAUUCAUUUAUUAUAGAGAUUAUCUUAUAUUCAUUUAUUAUAGAGAUUAUGAGUUAGAUUCUUGGAAAUGGAAUUCCACAAAACAAGUCAGAAGUGAGUUUCCGGGGAACAAGUAAGAACAAGAGAAGAACUGACAUCGGCCCACCCGAAGAAGAGUUAGGUAGUGAGUAAGCUGUUAGGUACCACAAACAAGGCAACAUAGAAUAGAGGAAGUAGUGAGUAAGCAGAACAAGCAACAAAGUCAGGGCAGUGAACUAGAAGCGCGAGGCCAGAAAAGAGUACGACACAGUAACGAGUUAGUCAGGAUGCCAAUAAAUCCGAUUUGCUUAAAGCAACGGAAAAAGAAGUAAGCUGUUUUGUGAAAACUCAGAAUUCAGUAAGCAGUGUUGUUACAACUAUGACAUUAUAGGGGGAGAAUAAGCAACGGAGCAAGCAGUAAGUAAUGUUCAAGCUUAGAGCCAGCAGUACAGUAAUAGGUGAGCUUUUUAGUUUCGUUAGUUUCUCAGAGGAACCAAACUACUAAUAAUGCACAAGUAGGGAUAGCAGUGCCUCUCUCUGCCUAUGUCCUUUACAGUGCCUCUUACCUAUGUCCUUUACUUUGUAUGGGGUUCGGCUGCCUCAAGUAGAUUCAAUUAGGCUUCAAUUCCCCGGGGCUCCUUAGCUUUGAACUCGCUGACGCUAGAACUCAGGCUCCCGAAAGCUGGAAUUGUCAUAACUCUGCGCUACUAACUACUAAGCUUGGCGGUUAUAACAAGAGGAACUCUAGCAGCCCUGCCGCUACACUGACUACGUUACUUGGCGGACUUGGUCAUAACUCUAGGAUACAGGACUUUCUAAUUCUCCGGAUCUGAAAUCCACUGCUGGCUCAACAAAACUUCAUUGAAUCUUGUUUGCGCAGAGAGAAUAGGGGAGGAAUAAUACCCGAAUCUAUACCUUAUCCCUUUUCUAUACCCUUAGAGUCACAUACUUUCCCUUAGAGUCACUGACUUUUGUACCGAUCCUGCUCUAGCUGAUCCAGAUGUAUCUUCUGCUAUUGUUUAGUUGACUUUACGG
rnacentral:lncRNA from 1 species